rnacentral:rRNA from 1 species
CUACGGGACGCUCCAGUGAGGAAUAUUGCACAAUGGGGGGAACCCUGAUGCAGCAACGCCGCGUGGAGGAUGACGCAUUUCGGUGUGUAAACUCCUUUUAUGAGUCAAGGAAAUGACGGUAGCUCAUGAAUAAGCACCGGCUAACUCCGUGCCAGCAGCCGCGGUAAUACGGAGGGUGCAAGCGUUACUCGGAAUCACUGGGCGUAAAGGACGCGUAGGCGGGUUGUCAAGUCAGGUGUGAAAUCCUACAGCUUAACUGUAGAACUGCACUUGAAACUGGCAGCCUAGAGUAUGGGAGGGGGAGAUGGAAUUAGUGGUGUAGGGGUAAAAUCCGUAGAUAUCACUAGGAAUACCUAAAGCGAAGGCGAUCUCCUGGAACAUUACUGACGCUAAGGCGUGAAAGCGUGGGGAGCAAACAGGAUUAGAUACCCCCGUAGUC